AUGAGGGCUCUCUCGCGCCAGAUCAGAUACUACGAACCGUGUCAGACCCUGAAGAGGACAGCU
rnacentral:SRP_RNA from 1 species